rnacentral:piRNA from 1 species
UGAGAAGUGUGCAUAGCUAAGCAGUCCU